rnacentral:rRNA from 1 species
CCUACGGGAGGCAGCAGUGGGGAAUUUUGGACAAUGGGCGAAAGCCUGAUCCAGCAAUGCCGCGUGCAGGAUGAAGGCCUUCGGGUUGUAAACUGCUUUUGUACGGAACGAAACGGUUCUUUCUAAUAAAGAGAGCUAAUGACGGUACCGUAAGAAUAAGCACCGGCUAACUACGUGCCAGCAGCCGCGGUAAUACGUAGGGUGCAAGCGUUAAUCGGAAUUACUGGGCGUAAAGCGUGCGCAGGCGGUUAUGUAAGACAGUUGUGAAAUCCCCGGGCUCAACCUGGGAAUUGCAUCUGUGACUGCAUAGCUAGAGUACGGUAGAGGGGGAUGGAAUUCCGCGUGUAGCAGUGAAAUGCGUAGAUAUGCGGAGGAACACCGAUGGCGAAGGCAAUCCCCUGGACCUGUACUGACGCUCAUGCACGAAAGCGUGGGGAGCAAACAGGAUUAGAUACCCUGGUAGUCCACGCCCUAAACGAUGUCAACUGGUUGUUGGGUCUUCACUGACUCAGUAACGAAGCUAACGCGUGAAGUUGACCGCCUGGGGAGUCGGCCGCAAGGUUGAACUUAAAGGAUUGACGG